rnacentral:rRNA from 1 species
UACGUAGGGGGCUAGCGUUGUCCGGAUUUAUUGGGCGUAAAGAGCGUGUAGGCGGCCUGGUAGGUCUGCUGUGAAAACUCGAGGCUCAACCUCGAGAUGUCGGCGGAAACCAUCUGGCUAGAGUCCGGAAGAGGAGAGUGGAAUUCCUGGUGUAGCGGUGAAAUGCGCAGAUAUCGGGAAGAACACCCGUGGCGAAGGCGGCGCUCUGGGACGGUACUGACGCUGAGUCGCGAAAGCGUGGGGAGCGAACAGG